UACAGAGGUCUCAAGCGUUGUUCGGAUUCAUUGGGCGUAAAGGGUGUGUAGGUGGCGCCGUAAGUCGGGUGUGAAAUUUCGGAGCUUAACUCCGAAACUGCAUUCGAUACUGCGGUACUUGAGGACUGGAGAGGAGACUGGAAUUCAUGGUGUAGCAGUGAAAUGCGUAGAGAUCAUGAGGAAGACCAGUGGCGAAGGCGGGUCUCUGGACAGUUCCUGACGCUGAGGCACGAAGGUCAGGGGAGCAAACGGG
rnacentral:rRNA from 1 species